rnacentral:sRNA from 1 species
UUUUUUUUGUGCACAAACUUAAUUAUAUUGCUCAAAUGAUGUUCUGUCCAUACAAACAAAGACAUAGUUUUGUGAGAGUAUCAACCACAACAUUAGAUGACCGAAGAAUAAAUCGGCACAUAAAGCUAGCAAAAGAGUUGAUGCUUAAUAGAAUGUCUUCCAAAAUACUGUGAAAUUCCAAAAGAACUGAACGAGAGUUUAUAGCUCCGAUUAGUUGUGGACAAUCAGACUCAAGCAGAAAGUGAUCCACUCCUAAGCUGGCUGCAUCCAGAAUUGCAACUCUAUAGGCUAAACUUUCAGCCAUGAAAGGUGAUGAAACGUUCUCGAAAAUCUCAGAACACGUUGAGGUCCCUCCUGACCCCGGUUCCUUAAAACUCUAGCCAAGUACCGCCAAGUCCCGCCACUUUGAUGUCCUCUCGCCAAGCCGCAUCCGUUCUACACAAUACACCUUGCCAUAAAUUAUAUAAAAU